rnacentral:rRNA from 1 species
GACGAACGCUGGCGGCGUGCCUAAUACAUGCCAGUCGAACGCUGAAGGAGGAGCUUGCUUCUCUGGAUGAGUUGCGAACGGGUGAGUAACGCGUAGGUAACCUGCCUGGUAGCGGGGGAUAACUAUUGGAAACGAUAGCUAAUACCGCAUAAGAGUAGAUGUCGCAUGACAUUUGCUUAAAAGGUGCAAUUGCAUCACUACCAGAUGGACCUGCGUUGUAUUAGCUAGUUGGUGAGGUAACGGCUCACCAAGGCAACGAUACAUAGCCGACCUGAGAGGGUGAGCGGCCAAACUGGGACUGGGACACGGCCCAGACUCCUACGGGAGGCAGCAGUAGGGAAUCUUCGGCAAUGGACGGAAGUCUGACCGAGCAACGCCGCGUGAGUGAAGAAGGUUUUCGGAUCGUAAAGCUCUGUUGUAAGAGAAGAACGAGUGUGAGAGUGGAAAGUUCACACUGUGACGGUAUCUUACCAGAAAGGGACGGCUAACUACGUG